UACGUAGGGUGCGAGCGUUAAUCGGAAUUACUGGGCGUAAAGCGUGCGCAGGCGGUUGUGCAAGACAGAUGUGAAAUCCCCGGGCUUAACCUGGGAACUGCAUUUGUGACUGCACGGCUAGAGUGUGUCAGAGGGGGGUAGAAUUCCACGUGUAGCAGUGAAUGCGUAGAUAUGUGGAGGAAUACCGAUGGCGAAGGCAGCCCCCUGGGAUAACACUGACGCUCAUGCACGAAAGCGUGGGGAGCAAACAGG
rnacentral:rRNA from 1 species